rnacentral:rRNA from 1 species
GGAAUAUUGCGCAAUGGGGGAAACCCUGACGCAGCGACGCCGCGUGGGUGAGGAAGGCUUUCGGGUCGUAAAGCCCUGUCAGAAGGGAAGAAAUGCAUGCGGAUUAAUACUCUGUGUGUUUGACGGUACCUUCAAAGGAAGCACCGGCUAACUCCGUGCCAGCAGCCGCGGUAAUACGGAGGGUGCGAGCGUUGUUCGGAAUCACUGGGCGUAAAGGGCGCGCAGGCGGCUUGGUAAGUCAGAUGUGAAAGUCCACGGCUCAACCGUGGAAGUGCAUUUGAAACUGUCAGGCUUGAGUAUCAGAGGGGAAAGUGGAAUUCCCGGUGUAGAGGUGAAAUUCGUAGAUAUCGGGAGGAAUACCGGUGGCGAAGGCGACUUUCUGGCUGAAUACUGACGCUGAGGCGCGAAAGCGUGGGGAGCGAACAGGAUUA